UUUUGCAGAUUAAUUGCACGAGGAUCAUGGAUCAAACUGCUGAAAAGUAUAUUCAAAUAUCGUGCAUGUGAACAGCUGCGUUUUGGUGUAAAGUUUUGAUAAGAAUUCGCCAUUUUAACCGAGUUUCAUUGUUUAUUGAACGCAUGACAAUAAUCUUUUCAACUCUAACUUUUUGAUGGGGAGUAUAAUAACAUAGUAACUGUUACCUUAACUCCCGAUGUAGACUCAUACUGAUAGGUAUGCUGAUUUUUGUACCAUGCCAUUCAAUGAAUAUAUGAAAUGUAUAUAUUA